UACGAAGGGGGCUAGCGUUGUUCGGAAUUACUGGGCGUAAAGCGCACGUAGGCGGAUUGUUAAGUGAGGGGUGAAAUCCCAGGGCUCAACCCUGGAACUGCCUUUCAUACUGGCAAUCUCGAGUCCGAGAGAGGUGAGUGGAAUUCCGAGUGUAGAGGUGAAAUUCGUAGAUAUUCGGAGGAACACCAGUGGCGAAGGCGCUCACUGGCGUCGGUACUGACGCUGGAGGCACGAAAGCCAGGGG
rnacentral:rRNA from 1 species